AGGUAGUGUGUUAAUGAGCUAUCUCUUGAAUUUGUCCAUUGAUCGUGUCUCAGAAAUAUUUUCUCAUUGUUUCAUCACACUGAAACUUUGGCCAAGAAAUGUUUAAAAUUCAAAGCAUUGAUAUCAAUUUCCCCCCCCUUUUUUUUUAAAGGCAACUUACAAGAUUAAAAUUAAAUUUGGUUGAUGAUGGUUCUGGACAAAUACAGCUCUUUUAUUUGAGGUAUGCCAUUUUGAAGACAGACCCGUGGAAUUUUAUCCUUGAGGAUAGGGGAAAUCUUUGUGAAAGUCUGUAUUUUAUAAAGCAACAAUAUGAAUCCUGAGGCUGAAUUGUCUAAGGGGCCUGUACAGCGAAAUAGAUCACCCAGUCAGCUUGAAGAGUCUCAAAUGGACCCUACAACUGAGAAAUCAAGAUGGCAGUCCACUAUGGGAAAUGAGAAAAAUGGACUAAUGCAAGAGUGCUGUGAUAAUAACAACCAAGACAGGGUUCUUUUAACAUGGAUUUCAUGAAUGAAGAUAUAGGUUUCUUAACCAACACAAUGGACAGUGGAUUUGACUUUGGAAAGACUUUUUGUAUCAUAAAAACAAGAACAUUUUUGACAUUUGGAGAAGAAAGAUGACACAUUAACAGAUGAUAGUUUGUAUGUCUGGAAUUUUUUGGUUUGAUUUGUAUGAGAAUGACCUUGUGGAAUGUUAACUUUAAUAAAAUUUCUAACAGUUUAAAAUUUCUCA
rnacentral:lncRNA from 1 species